AUUGUCACCCGUACAGGGAAGAUGCUAUCGAAAUUUCUUCUGGCAGGAACUACCUGGGGAGGAGAAGUUGAAGAAACCGGGCGCCUGGUGCUGGUCCGAGCGCCCGAACCAGGCUCGCCCAGUCGGGCCGCCGGUGCCUAGGUGAUCCAAGAGCUCGGACUCGGUCCAGGAGAAACCCAAAGAAUUAUCCACAAGCUGAUGUGGAGCCCGUCAAUUGGUCAAGUCACAUGGUCCAAGCGCCCGAAGGGGUUCCAAGUGCCCGGAUUGGACCAUUUAAAGGCCUUCGACCAGCAGCUUAAAAAGCAACAACUUUUACAACUUUCUCUUCUGCUCAGUGCUCCAAAAAGGCUC